UUUCAUCACACAUGCACAAACCUGGAAGAUUAAUUACACUCCCUUUUGUAAAACGCAGCAUCCCAAGUGAUUAGGGAAGGAAUGAAUCAAGAAUAUGAAUUUAAGUACCUAAAAGCAACGCAGCCAUAGCUCGGCUUGAAAGAAAACAGCUGCCAAGGAAAAUAGUAAGGCAAAAAUGUGAAGCAGUGUCUCUGAGGCUGGGGGAGGGAAAAGGGCUCGGGAUGCUCCCAGAAGUGUUUGGGCUGACCUGGGGCCCUGACACCUUGAGAUGGGAUUGCAUCAGCUCUCCUACACAGAGAUGGGAAAAACUCAUGCAGGGUUUGUUGUAAGGGACAAGCAGGCUAAACUGGAGGUUUUCCAGUGGACGGUGUUUUCCUUCCAGUUAGGACACAAGAAUUUUUCACGUAUUGGUGCUCUGUGGAGGAGAUAUGUUAGUACAAACGGCUGCUGGGGCAGGUCUGUGCUGCGGGGCAGAUGCAUGCUCCUGUCUGCAGCUGCCACGGUCACCUCCAGCAGAGGAGCUGCAGCUACGUGGGUGGAAAAUGUGCUUUGCUUGGUGGAGACUGCCACUGCCUGCCUAGAAAAGAGAUGCAAACGUAGCAGAGCCGGAGUGGGAGACGUAACCAUCUCCAGAUGUGUGCCGUGAGUGGGCUGGGAACGAGCUGUUCCCUGGGCUUCGACAGCAGUGAGGGACAUGCAAGUCCAGGAAAAGCUUUGAAGGGUGAAAAGGAGAGAGUCAAGGGAAGCAGUUGUCCAGGAAGACUGGAAUUUCAGCCAGUGGGUAUUUUUAGCACAGACCCGGGCAAUAAGCUGUAACUUGACCCUGCGCUGGGGGAUGAACUGGGAGACCACUCAAGGUGCUGCACAGCACCAUUUGCUGUGUUUUAGUUAAUUACGUGUACUUAUGUAAGAUUUAAAGGCUUUUUUUUUUUUUUUUUUUUGGCUUGUGGGUGUCUGUUUCUGUGCAUACACUUACACACGGAGCAAGGGGCAGGGAGUUCACAGUGUGACCAGACAUAUAUCAGGGUGCUUAUCUGUCAGUAUAUGCAGAUAAGGGAGUUAUAAAGUACCCAUUUUAGAGAUCAGAAUGGUUUUCAACAUGUUUCCUUGAGAAGCAGCGAGGGGGAGGAAGGACUGCACAAAGUCCCACGCUCCCUCUGCUCCCCUCUCCCCUCCUCAUUCUCCCAGGGCUUUUCUCACCGCGGCUCCAGGACCAGCAGGACCCCUCUGAGGGCUGAUUGAACUCCUGAGGAUGCGAGAAUGCCAGCCAGCAAGAGCUGGUGCUGCUUGGGGACGGGUAUAGUGAGCAUCAGGACCAGAGGAGGGAGGAGCUGGGUGGCCAGCUCAGCUGGAGGGUGCUGGGGAGCUCUUGCGAAGCACCUCAGGAUGGAAAUCACAGCCUACAGUCGUAACAUAGCAGCCUUCUUAAAUGGAGAGAACAAAAAAAGAAAAGGGAAGAAAGGGAUCUUUUUUCUUCCUCCUGGGAGGAGCUCUUAUCUGAUUCCUGAAGAUUGUUUUAGUGUCUGUGCUAUUUUUGUAGCUGGAAGUGCACUCUGUGAAAGAGCGAGCAACGCUGAGAACCUCCGAGAAAUUCAUUAUGAGAGGAGGAGGCCAAAAGUUGAGCUGGGACACGGGAAGCUAACAACCACAUGUUUUGCAGCCUCCAAAUUCGAUCUCCCUCUCUGAUGCCCUACCAGCCGUAUGGCUCUGAGACAGCUGGGCUGGAGCAAACAGCCUUGAGGCCACCCGGAGGUCUGCUGGGCAGGAUAAAGUUACUUGAGCAUCCUCACCCUGCCACUAAAAUGUCACAUUUGCAGCCCACUAUUGAUUUCUGGGACUCAGGAUCUCUGUGGCCACCAACCAGCGGACCAGAAUGAACUCCAGCCCUUUGGGAAUUGACAGGGCUGAGAUGCAGAGUGCAGUCUUUCAUCACUUUGCUGCUCCUGCUCUCCAGGUCAUCCAUCCGUGCGCAGCCAGGGGACAAUAGCUUAGAAAAUGGACCCCUCUUUGCUGUUUUUUCCUGGGGGUGCAGUGAUAAGGGUGGGAUGCUGGCCUGUUUCACUGUCACUGUUGCUCACUCAGAGAAACAGAAUGGAGCUGCCAAUUUUUAACUUUAAAUUAUUAUUAUUUUUUUUCACAGUGCUGAGAAUCACGUGUUUGAAAAUCUUGCAGAAGGUUUUUUUAUUUUAAUUUUUUCUUUUUUAUUUUAAAUGCACAAUCCAAAGCAACGAUCUCUUGAUGUAUGGCUGCUGACAGGUGCCCAUCUGCUCCCCUGGAAGCCCAUCUUUCAUGCCUCAUCUCCUCCAGCAUGUGAGAUGGGGCGAAGCAGCUGGAGGGGAUGCUGCAUGCAGGACUGCAUCGCUCCGCAGACGGCUGUCGUGCAAUAUAAUCUGCUCAGCCUUCCGGUGUCAGAAACAUUGCUGGCUGUGCAUGCAGGGCAGGGGGAGAAGAGAAAUGCUGCUGCAAAGACAAGCAUGUGUUUGUUGUGUUCCUGGAUGUUGUGCAACAUUUUUUUUGGGGGGAGGGAACGGGAGAGCUGCCUGCUGGCAGCAGGGAAGAGGUUAAAUUUUGAUAGCAUCUUGGUUAAGCCAGGAAAACUUUGACCUCUGCCUCUUCUUUACUUCUAACCGAAUUCAGGAGAUUAUGACAAAGCCUGUGUGGGCGUGUUCCCAGUGCUCGGUUUCCAAAAGAUGGAAAUACCAUCUUCCUCCCCUCUGGAGAUUUCGGCAGCAGGAGCUGGAGCUGGAGAGCUGCUGCCGAGACCCCCCAGCACCCACAUCUUCGCUCUCUGCUCGUGACCAGGAGCAGAACAGCCAGGGCAGGAGCUAUGUUCUGCUGCAUCCUGCUGUCCCGAGGAGGGUGAUUUAUGGUGUUUUGGGGGUCAUGGGGGAGCCAAAGGGUGCACACACGCCUUCCCUCCCUCUUCGUGUACAUAUAAAUAUGUUCUAGUGCCUGCUACUGCCGGCUUCUGAAUGUGUGGCUAUGUGUUUCGCCCUGGGUUCAUCCCACCCUAAAUUUGCCUGAGAUGCCUGAGUGUGGAGCACAGACAUCCUCGGGUUCCCUCUGUUGUCGAUGGAGCGAAGCACCUGCAGAAGGUGACCCAGCUCAGGUGAGCGAUUCCCUUAAUUGCCUUCUGGCUAAUUCUGCACCAGCCGGGUGCCCGCAGGCAGGAUGAUGGUACCGGGGAGAGCAGCAGGCGGGGGUCUCAUUGCACCCCACGUCUGUCUGCCCUCGUGUUUCCUUGUGGUUUUGGGCUCAGAGGGUCCGCAGUGCCCAUGGGGUCCAGCUCACCACUUGCCAACUCCUCCAGCCCUCUGCGGCCAGCCAAAGUCCUAAAAUCAGCCACCCUGCACUCCACCUGCACCCGCUCCCCGUGACGCCCCCCUCGUCCUUGGCUCCAUGGUGAAGGAGAUCUGGCAAGAGGGCAGGGAGAUGCCUUUGCCCAUCUCACCUCGAGCUGGCAUCUCGGGAGCGAGGAGGAACGAAACAAGGAGGAGAGAUGAGAGAUAGGGCACGGCACACCUUGAGAUGAAAGACGUGUGGUUGGUGUUUGAAGAGCUGUGACGUUCCUCGGAGAGGAGGAUUUAUUUCUUCAUUAACUUGGUGCCUGAACAAGUUUAUCUUGAAGCACUGAACAAGUGUCAUUCAU